rnacentral:rRNA from 1 species
CCCUUAGAUGUUCUGGGCCGCACGCGCGCUACACUGACGAUGGCAACGAGUUUUUCCUUCGCCGAAAGGUGUGGGUAAUCUUUUGAAACAUCGUCGUGCUGGGGAUAGAUCAUUGCAAUUUUUGAUCUUGUACGAGGAAUUCCUAGUAAGCGCGAGUCAUCAGCUCGCGUUGAUUACGUCCCUGCCCUUUGUACACACCGCCCGUCGCUACUACCGAUUGAAUGGUUUAGUGAGGACUCCUGAUUGGCGCCGCCGCCCCGGCAACGGAGCAGCGGACUGCCGAAAAGUUGUUCAAACUUGAUCAUUUAGAGGAAGUAAAAGUCGUAACA